rnacentral:rRNA from 1 species
CCUACGGGUGGCAGCAGUGGGGAAUAUUGGGCAAUGGGCGCAAGCCUGACCCAGCAACGCCGCGUGAAGGAAGAAGGCUUUCGGGUUGUAAACUUCUUUUCUCAGGGACGAAGAAAGUGACGGUACCUGAGGAAUAAGCCACGGCUAACUACGUGCCAGCAGCCGCGGUAAUACGUAGGGGGCAAGCGUUAUCCGGAUUUAUUGGGUGUAAAGGGCGUGUAGGCGGGAGGGCAAGUCAGAUGUGAAAACGCUGGGCUCAACCCUGAGACUGCAUUUGAAACUGUGGUUCUUGAGUUCUGGAGAGGGAAGCGGAAUUCCGGGUGUAGCGGUGAAAUGCGUAGAUAUACGGAGGAACACCAGUGGCGAAGGCGGAUUGCUGGACGGAAACUGACGCUGAGGCGCGAAAGCGUGGGGAGCAAACAGGAUUAGAUACCCGAGUAGUC